rnacentral:rRNA from 1 species
UACGUAGGUGGCAAGCGUUGUCCGGAUUUAUUGGGUUUAAAGGGUGCGUAGGCGGCCUUUUAAGUCAGUGCUGAAAUACUCUAGCUUAACUAGAGGGGUGGCAUUGAUACUGAAAGGCUUGAGUGAAGUCGAAGUAGGCGGAAUUGACGGUGUAGCGGUGAAAUGCUUAGAUAUCGUCAAGAACACCGAUAGUGAAGACAGCUUACUAGACUUCAACUGACGCUGAGGCACGAAAGCGUGGGGAGCAAACAGG